rnacentral:tRNA from 1 species
UAAUAUACUGGUCUUGUAAACCAGAAAAGGAGACCAACCAACCUCCCUAAGAC